GGAGAGGUGCCAGAGUGGUUGAAUGGGACGGUCUUGAAAACCGUUGUCGCCCAUAAGGUGACCGUGGGUUCGAAUCCCACCCUCUCCG
rfam:Parcubacteria bacterium GW2011_GWC2_44_22 TW45_C0004, whole genome shotgun sequence.